UUCACAUAUUUCUUCUCCACUCUCUAUCUGGAAGUUCCUGGUCAUAUCGGAGCAUCCCUCUAAUUUCCAAACAUUCUAAGGAUCACUUGUUAGUGUUCCUUUCCAGCUCUUUUCGUUUUUAUAGGCUUUUAUAAGACGAAAGUCAAGCAAAUUGACUUUUGCUUUGACUUUCAUUUUAGACCAUUAUGGUCCAGCAAUUGUUCGAAUCGAACAUGGCUACGUGAUCGUAAUAAGGUAGGUGUUAAUCUCUCAAAAGGGCACAUCCUAGAAAUCACGUUAUGUUGGUCAAAUGACUGGUUAAAGUUAAGUUAAAUAAAAAGUCAAAGGGCAGAUUUUUGGAAACUUUAUAAAAUGAACUUGUAAAUGUUAUAAUUGAAGUUUUUAACAUUAAAUCAGUUGGUAACUAAUAUUAUAAAAUGUAUGAACAUGUUCCGCCCGUCAUUUCCUGUUUACAUGUUGGUUUGCAACCGAAAGUCAAGCAGUUUGACUUCUACUUUGACUUUCAAUUCUGACCCGAUUUAGCAACUUUAGCUACUGAUUAUUAGUUGCAUUAUGAUCAUAAUAUAGUGUAAAAUAACCCUCUGUAGUUAUACUACUUGAUCAUAAUCAGAUUUUGAGUUUUACACAAGUUCUUAUAAUAUGCCUAAUAAUGACCAAAAUGCCCUUUUGUGCAAAGCUUGGUUUUAAUCAAUAAAGAUCAUAUAAAUUUGAUUACCUACUGAUAUGGUAAUAUAACUAAUAUGUUUUGGCAGAAUGAACUUGUUUAUAACAUAAGUUUUUAUACAAGUUCAUGAAUUAUGCCACAUUAUGACCAAAAUGCCCUUACGGUACAUAGUUUGAUUUUAAAACCAUAAUGGUCAUAUAAUUUGAUAACCUACUGAUGUUACAACAUAAUUAAAGUAUUUUGGCAUAUUGAACUUGUUUAUAGCUCAUCCAAUACCCGAUACCGACUAUGCACGUACGGUUAGCUUAUGUAACUAGUUUACGUAAGUUUACCAAAACGGGUCAAGUCUUCUCAAUUUAUUUCAAAUUCUAGAAUGUAAACAUGUUUACCCACAUUAUACAAGUCUUAGUACUUGUGAGGGUUUAAACUACAUUCUAUCCGGUCAUCGCUUAAUCUAGCAUAUCGUACCGUUUUCGUUAUUUUAAGUUAACCGGUCGAAGUCUAUGACUUGAAUAAGGUCCGUUAACAAUAUAAUUGUUUAUUAUACCAUUCAUUCCAGACAGAGGCAUUCCAGUAGAUUGCAACCAAGCUUAGUUAAUUGAUUAGGGUUGUGCUUAUUAUAUUAUCUUGCAUUGUAAGACUUGUUUAAGCCAGGUAAAUACUCUUAACCUUUUUUUCCUAUACAGGCUUGGGAUACGGUAAAUUCUUACUGCUUGGUCAGGCAUGCGAUCAAAUGUUGGAUUCUCAUUUAAUGGCAAAUGGCCACGACUUAAGCAUGGGGUGUAGGCAUACACCUGACAGAUGUUAAUGCUAUUAUAAAAUAUUUUCUACCCAUAUUGGGGAUACCUUUUUAUGGGUUAAAAGCGGUGUGUCGGUUAAUCAUGUUAUUUAGUUUCUGUACAAGGCCUCAUAUGUAUUAACAGGCAUGUAAAACUGUAUACAAGAUAAUUGUUAUUGUCCCAAGUUAUUUAUAAAAUUACAUGUGCCUUUGUGCACUUAAAACAAUUUGAAAUAUUUUCAAAAUUUGUCGGUUACUUGUGUCUAACGAUGUAAACUGACGUAUCUUCAAAAGACUAAGUGACAGGUUCCAAGGUUACAAAAUAGGCUGGAAGUGCCAGUAAUGCUUAAGAGGAAUUUGUGACUCCUUGCAUUAGAAGCCUAUUAGUCUGUUAUUUCAUUUUGUACAUUUACGAUCCGCCUGUGGAUCUUUUGAUACAUUAUCCGUCUGUAUAAUAUUUUGAACACUCGGACAUUUAUAUUGUAAUAUUUUAAAUCCAAGACUUCCACUGU
rnacentral:lncRNA from 1 species